rnacentral:rRNA from 1 species
UUCUAUCGCCAUGCCACCCUGAACAAGCCCGAUGUCUGAUCUCAGAAGCUAAGCAGGGUAGGGCUUGGUUAAUACUUGGAUGGGAAACCACCUAGAAAGACCAGGUGCUAUAGGCA